rnacentral:snRNA from 1 species
GAAUGUGACAGCAACCCUGGUUGUGACAUCUGUUAACCCAGUGACCAUCAGGGUUGAUUCAGCUGAUCAGAAGGGUGUCCCCUUUUAACCUCAUCACUCCAUGUGCAUCUUUCCCAAAGCUGCACGCUCAGUGGAACAGGACAACAAUCCAAGAUAGGAAUGCAUAGUUCUUUGGUCAAGGAUAUUUCUAUAGAGGCUCAAUAANGAAAUGUUCUCUGGGUAGCUCACCUUAAAAAUACAUUGAAAU